rnacentral:lncRNA from 1 species
AAAAAAACAACCUGAUUUACUUUUAAUAAAGUUAGCUCUAGGACCAGAGCAGCUGCAGUUUAGAUUGUAAUUUCUUUCUUGGGUAACUGGAGAUAGUUUACUGAAAGCAGACAAGGAAGCGUAAAAAGAAUCUGAACACCCUUUCUUUCCUCAACAGGUCCUGCUUUCUCAUCUACAACUGAAGGUUGCAUCUUUCCUUAAAAGCCAUUAACGGUCAUCUACUGUCCAUGGGGCGGAGGUGGAGCUGAUUCAUACAGAAUUUGAGAAUCUUGCCUUGCUUACCAUCUAAAGAUGACUCAAAAGCUUCUUACAUCCAAAUGAAACGUCUCACUUCGUUCGUAAAGAAUGUGGCAUCUUUAGGGUUGAAAUCCUGUAAUGACCCUAAAGCAGAUAAGAGCAGAGCGGCCUCUACACCCAGGGAUAAGGAGCACGAGCAAUCACUAGGUGCCAAGGAGUUUGAAACGGAGCCCGGC